GCCUCCGUGGAUGAAUGGUAAAUCACCUCAGUUUCAUAAUGAAUAGGUGUUGAGCUUAUGAGGAGUUGUGGGUUCGAACCCCACCGGAGACA